rnacentral:rRNA from 1 species
AGAGUUUGAUCCUGGCUCAGGAUCAACGCUGGCGGCGUGCCUAAUGCAUGCAAGUCGAGCGCGGGCUUCUUCGGGAGUGCUGCGGCGGACGGGUGCGUAACACGUGGGCAACCUGCCCUGGGGUGGGGGAUAGCCGUGGGAAACCGCGGGUAAUUCCGCAUACGAGCCGUUCUCGUAGGGGGACGGCUGAAAGACGCUUCGGCGUCGCCCUUGGAGGGGCCUGCGGCCGAUUAGCUAGUUGGGGGGGUAACGGCUUCCCAAGGCAGUGAUCGGUAGCUGGUCUGAGAGGACGGCCAGCCACACGGGGACUGAGACACGGCCCCGACUCCUACGGGAGGCAGCAGCAAGGAAUCUUCCGCAAUGGGGGCAACCCUGACGGAGCAACGCCGCGUGGGGGAUGACGCGCUUCGGCGUGUAAACCCCUUUUCUGCGGGAAGAAGGACUUCGGUCUUGACGGUACCGCAGGAAGAAGGACCGGCUAACUACGUGCCAGCAGCCGCGGUAAUACGUAGGGUCCGAGCGUUGUCCGGAGUUACUGGGCGUAAAGCGCGCGCAGGCGGCGGUGCUGGCCCGGCGUGAAAGCCCCCGGCUCAACCGGGGAGGGUCGUCGGGGACCGCACCGCUUGAGGGCGGUAGGGGCUGGUGGAAUGCCUGGUGUAGUGGUGAAAUGCGUAGAGAUCAGGCGGAACACCCGUGGCGAAGGCGGCCAGCUGGGCCGUCCCUGACGCUGAGGCGCGAAGGCGUGGGGACGAACGGGAUUAGAUACCCUAGUAGUCC